CAGGUGUUCCUUGUGUCUCUCUCUGCUCUUGCCCAUUAAGAUGGAUCCAGGUCGAAAGGGGCACUGCCAUGGUGGAGGACACGGUCAUGGCCAUGGCCCUGGGCACCAUGGUGGGGGGCAUCCUCCA